rnacentral:rRNA from 1 species
GCGGUAGCACAGAGAGCUUGCUCUCGGGUGACGAGCGGCGGACGGGUGAGUAAUGUCUGGGAAACUGCCUGAUGGAGGGGGAUAACUACUGGAAACGGUAGCUAAUACCGCAUAACGUCGCAAGACCAAAGUGGGGGACCUUCGGGCCUCAUGCCAUCAGAUGUGCCCAGAUGGGAUUAGCUAGUAGGUGGGGUAACGGCUCACCUAGGCGACGAUCCCUAGCUGGUCUGAGAGGAUGACCAGCCACACUGGAACUGAGACACGGUCCAGACUCCUACGGGAGGCAGCAGUGGGGAAUAUUGCACAAUGGGCGCAAGCCUGAUGCAGCCAUGCCGCGUGUAUGAAGAAGGCCUUCGGGUUGUAAAGUACUUUCAGCGGGGAGGAAGGCGAUAAGGUUAAUAACCUUGUCGAUUGACGUUACCCGCAGAAGAAGCACCGGCUAACUCCGUGCCAGCAGCCGCGGUAAUACGGAGGGUGCAAGCGUUAAUCGGAAUUACUGGGCGUAAAGCGCACGCAGGCGGUCUGUCAAGUCGGAUGUGAAAUCCCCGGGCUCAACCUGGGAACUGCAUUCGAAACUGGCAGGCUAGAGUCUUGUAGAGGGGGGUAGAAUUCCAGGUGUAGCGGUGAAAUGCGUAGAGAUCUGGAGGAAUACCGGUGGCGAAGGCGGCCCCCUGGACAAAGACUGACGCUCAGGUGCGAAAGCGUGGGGAGCAAACAGGAUUAGAUACCCUGGUAGUCCACGCCGUAAACGAUGUCGAUUUGGAGGUUGUGCCCUUGAGGCGUGGCUUCCGGAGCUAACGCGUUAAAUCGACCGCCUGGGGAGUACGGCCGCAAGGUUAAAACUCAAAUGAAUUGACGGGGGCCCGCACAAGCGGUGGAGCAUGUGGUUUAAUUCGAUGCAACGCGAAGAACCUUACCUGGUCUUGACAUCCACAGAACUUAGCAGAGAUGCUUUGGUGCCUUCGGGAACUGUGAGACAGGUGCUGCAUGGCUGUCGUCAGCUCGUGUUGUGAAAUGUUGGGUUAAGUCCC